rnacentral:rRNA from 1 species
GAUGAACGCUAGCUACAGGCUUAACACAUGCAAGUCGAGGGGAAACGGCAUUGAGUGCUUGCACUCUUUGGACGUCGACCGGCGCACGGGUGAGUAACGCGUAUCCAACCUUCCCAUUACUGUGGGAUAACCUGCCGAAAGGCAGACUAAUACCGCAUAGUCUUCGAUGACGGCAUCAGAUUUGAAGUAAAGAUUUAUCGGUAAUGGAUGGGGAUGCGUCUGAUUAGCUUGUUGGCGGGGUAACGGCCCACCAAGGCGACGAUCAGUAGGGGUUCUGAGAGGAAUGUCCCCCACAUUGGAACUAAGACACGGUCCAAAAACCUACGGGAGGUAGCAGUGAUGAAUAUUGGUCAAUGGACGGUAAUCUGAACCAGCCAAGUAGCGUGCAGGAUGACGGCCCUAUGGGUUGUAAACUGCUUUUGGAUGGGGAGAAAGUUAGUGACGUGUCCCUAAUUGCAGGUACCGGACGAAUAAGGGCCGGCUAAGUCCGUG